rnacentral:rRNA from 1 species
AUUGAACGCUGGCGGCAGGCCUAACACAUGCAAGUCGAACGAGCGGCGGACGGGUGAGUAAUGUCUGGGAAACUGCCUGAUGGAGGGGGAUAACUACUGGAAACGGUAGCUAAUACCGCAUACCAUCAGAUGUGCCCAGCUGGGAUUAGCUAGUUGGUGGGGUAACGGCUCACCAAGGCGACGAUCCCUAGCGGGUCUGAGAGGAUGACCAGCAACACGGGAACGGAGACACGGGCGAGACUCCUACGGGAGGCAGCAGUGGGGAAGAUUGAACAAUGGGCGCAAGCCGGAUGAAGCCAUGCAGCGUGUAUGAAGAAGGACUUCGGGUUGGAAAGGACGUUCAGCGGGGAGGCGUUACCCGCAGAAGAAGCACCGGCUAACUCCGUGCCAGCAGCCGCGGUAAUUC